UACGUAGGGCGCAAGCGUUGUCCGGAAUUAUUGGGCGUAAAGAGCUCGUAGGCGGCCAGUUGCGUCUGCUGUGAAAUCCCGGGGCUUAACCCCGAGCCUGCAGUGGAUACGGGCAGACUAGAGGUAGGUAGGGGAGAAUGGAAUUCCCGGUGUAGCGGUGAAAUGCGCAGAUAUCGGGAGGAACACCGGUGGCGAAGGCGGUUCUCUGGGCCUUACCUGACGCUGAGGAGCGAAAGCGUGGGGAGCGAACAGG
rnacentral:rRNA from 1 species